GCCCUUGUAGUAUAGCCCGGUCUAGAAUUCGGCCCUGUCACGGCUGAGACGCGGGUUCAAAUCCCGCCGAGGGCG
rnacentral:tRNA from 6 species